CCCGUUGAAUUUAAGCAUAUAUCUAAGCGGAAGAAAAGAAGCUAACGAGGAUUUCCUUAGUAACGGCGAGUAAAAAAGAA
rnacentral:ncRNA from 1 species